GAUGAACGCUGGCGGCGUGCCUAAUACAUGCAAGUCGAGCGAACAGACGAGGAGCUUGCUCCUCUGACGUUAGCGGCGGACGGGUGAGUAACACGUGGAUAACCUACCUAUAAGACUGGGAUAACUUCGGGAAACCGGAGCUAAUACCGGAUAAUAUAUUGAACCGCAUGGUUCAAUAGUGGAAGACGGUUUUGCUGUCACUUAUAGAUGGAUCCGCGCCGCAUUAGCUAGUUGGUAAGGUAACGGCUUACCAAGGCAACGAUGCGUAGCCGACCUGAGAGGGUGAUCGGCCACACUGGAACUGAGACACGGUCCAGACUCCUACGGGAGGCAGCAGUAGGGAAUCUUCCGCAAUGGGCGAAAGCCUGACGGAGCAACGCCGCGUGAGUGAUGAAGGUCUUCGGAUCGUAAAACUCCGUUAUUAGGGAAGAACAAAUGUGUAAGUAACUAUGCACGUCUUGACGGUACCUAAUCAGAAAGCCACGGCUAACUACGUG
rnacentral:rRNA from 1 species